CCUACGGGUGGCAGCAGUGAGGAAUAUUGGUCAAUGGGCGCGAGCCUGAACCAGCCAAGUAGCGUGAAGGAUGACUGCCCUACGGGUUGUAAACUUCUUUUAUAAAGGAAUAAAGUGAGGCACGUGUGCCUUUUUGUAUGUACUUUAUGAAUAAGGAUCGGCUAACUCCGUGCCAGCAGCCGCGGUAAUACGGAGGAUCCGAGCGUUAUCCGGAUUUAUUGGGUGUAAAGGGAGCGUAGAUGGGUUGUUAAGUCAGUUGUGAAAGUUUGCGGCUCAACCGUAAAAUUGCAAUUGAUACUGGCAGGCUGGAGUACAGUUGAGGUAGGCGGAAUUCGUGGUGUAGCGGUGAAAUGCUUAGAUAUCACGAAGAACCCCGAUUGCGAAGGCAGCUUACUAAACUGUGACUGACAUUGAUGCUCGAAAGUGUGGGUAUCAAACAGGAUUAGAUACCCUUGUAGUC
rnacentral:rRNA from 1 species